rnacentral:rRNA from 1 species
CCGCGGUAAUACCGGCGGCUCGAGUGGUGGCCACUAUUAUUGGGCUUAAAGCGUCCGUAGCUGGACUCUUAAGUCUCUUGGGAAAUCCGCCGGCUUAACCGACGGGCGUCUAAGAGAUACUGAGAGUCUAGGGACCGGGAGAGGUGAGAGGUACUCCGGGGGUAGGAGUGAAAUCCUGUAAUCCCCGGGGGACCACCGAUGGCGAAGGCAUCUCACCAGAACGGCUCCGACAGUGAGGGACGAAAGCUGGGGGAGCGAACCGGAUUAGAUACCCGGGUAGUCCCAGCCGUAAACUAUGCGCGUUAGGUGUACUGGUGACCACGAGUCACUGGGGUGCCGAAGGGAAACCGUGAAACGUGCCGCCUGGGAAGUACGGUCGCAAGGCUGAAACUUAAAGGAAUUGGCGGGGGAGCACCACAACGGGUGGAGCCUGCGGUUUAAUUGGACUCAACGCCGGAAAUCUCACCGGAUAAGACAGCGGAAUGAUAACCGGGCUGAAGACUCUGUUUGACCAGCUGAGAGGAGGUGCAUGGCCGUCGUCAGUUCGUACUGUGAAGCAUCCUGUUAAGUCAGGCAACGAGCGAGACCCACGCCAACAGUUGCUAGCUUGUUCUCCGGAAUGAAGAGGACACUGUUGGGACCGCCUCUGCUAAAGAGGAGGAAGGAAUGGGCAACGGUAGGUCAGCAUGCCCCGAAUUAUCCGGGCUACACGCGGGCUACAAUGGGCAGGACAAUGGGUAUCGACACCGAAAGGUGAAGGCAAUCUCUUAAACCUGUCCUAAGUUCGGAUUGUGGGCUGUAACUCGCCCACAUGAAGCUGGAAUCCGUAGUAAUCGCGUUUCAACAUAGCGCGGUGAAUGCGUCCCUGCUCCUUGCACACACCGCCCGUCAAACCAUCC